AAUAAUGAAAAAUAGGUUAUAUCCACCCUAAUAUAAGUAAAUGAGUUAGGGGUUUUUCACUAAUUAUCCCCUAUAUAUAUAUAUGGCAGAGGGAUCUAUCUUCAGUUUUUUCUUGAAAAAUUGAGCUCGUUGAUCAAGGUGGAGUUUGGAUUGAUUACGGGCGUGGAUGAGGAGAUGAAGAAGCUCUCCAGCACCCUCACCGCCAUUCAAGUUGUGCUCGAAGUGGAGCUCGCCGUACCUUGAAUUGACGGCGACUUCGGAGAAGAUCUGAAUUCACAGCGGCGGUGGCGAGAAGAAGAUGGCAAUGUCGGAGAAGAAGAUGGGAGAAGAAGAUGAAGUUGGGGGUCCCGUGAGUUUGACGGGAAGAAAAAUUCCAAUUUUUUGUUUCUUUUUUAAUUAAUAUUUUUAUAUUUAGUAGAUAUUUUUUUUUAUUUUGUUUAAUAUGAAACUAGAAAAACUGAGAGAGAUUUAGAGGGGUAUUUAUGUCUUUUUACACAAAAAGUCCCACAAGCAGUCGUAUAGAUAGCACGUGAAUGGCACGAACAAGAGGUAGGGGUGUAUAACUUUGACUACUGAUUACAGGAUGUUUUUGGCCACUUAAUUUUUCCGAGGAGUUUUUUUGGCCUUUAGAAAGUACACAUGAG
rnacentral:lncRNA from 1 species